UAACGUCUAAAUUAACUUUUUUUUGCUGAUGAACUGUAUAAAUGAGUGUCUAAUAGUGUUUUAAAUGUGUGCAUUCUUUAUUUUAGCAUUUUGGUGCAUUUUCUUUAAAAAUUAAAAAUUCUGGCUAAAAACCACAGUAAUGUGCCACCUUCAGCUGAAAACAUAGAAUCUGAGUCAUUUUGAAUAAAUUUUAGCCAAUGGCUAAAGAGUAAAGUACUACGUAAACCAGUAGAGUACUACGUAGCAGCUCCGUGCCAAAGUUAUAAAAGUAACGAGCGUCUCGGCCACGCCCUGUGGCGAGUGGGAGUUGGAUUUGCAAGUGAGUGUAGGAGGUCAGCGGUAGUUCAGCAUUAGCAUAUAGCAUUAGCAUAUCCUAGUCUUAGCAUAUCUUUUAGUGUUAUAAAUACUUAUUUAGUGUUAGAUUUGGCUGUUUGAUAUUGUAGUUUAGUUAGUGUUUGGCUGUUAGUGUAAUUGGGAAAGUAUUUCGGGUUUAGUGCUCCAUAUCGUCUUAGUAUUGGUGAGUAGGUGUAGUGUAGUAUGCUUGCGGUGACUCUGUGGGCAUUUUACCCGCGAUUCUGCACGUCUCCGUUUGAAGAGGCAGGCUGCCCACCGUGGCUCUUCCGCGAUUUAGAUGCAGCCCACCGACUCUGCUCCCCCACCACGGCGGGCUCCAGUCUGAGGUGAGUAAGCUAAAUAAACGUUUUAACAUCUUCUAAAGACAAUUCCCUACCUAAAUGCAAAGUUUGAGAGACGUGGUUCACUUCCUUUAGCUAGUCAGUCGGCAAUUCUGCAACAGUGUCUCUAACUGACGCAGCACUUGACAGACAGCAUUACAGCGUCAAAUCCAGCUUGUGAACAGGUUCUGUGAGGAAUUCUGUUCAGGAGGUCGCAUUUCAGGCUCUCCACAUCAUGUGUGACUGACUUUUACGUUAUAAUGAUCACACACUAGGAAUGUUAUAAAGCGCCUAUAUGGGACAGUUUCUUUUGUAUAUUAUCUGACUUUAUAAACUCUCAACAACAAUGUGCUUAUAUAUUUUUUUCAGGCUAAAUCUACCCAAGACACUGGCUGUCAGACUGAUUUAGCUGCAAGAAUGCACUUGUCCAGGCUGACGUGAAACCUUCCCUGUAGCAAAGCCAGCCAGAAUGGAGUUCACAGCCGCAGUGUGUUUGGUGACCCACGGGGACCAUGAUGAAAAUUCAUCUUCCAGAAGGUCCCAGAGCAGCGGCCACACCCCCUGAAAAGACCAAGGUGUGAGGUGUCUGCUGUUGAUUCCAGCUUCCACCUCAGUGACGGUGCAAGCUCAGUGAACUGUUCAAGCCUGGCUGAUCACCUGAUAACUCCUGUCAUCUGGUUAUGACAGCAUGAGGAUGUCCUCACACACCUGUAACCUAUCAGCUCAUCUGGCAGAAUAGAGAGAGAAGAGACAACACCACAUCUCCUGUUCCUGGAAAGCCUUCAGCCAUCCUUCGAUGACUGAGAACCUCCAUCAGCUCUGUCUCCUGUCUGCCUACAAUUAUUAUAAUAAAUAUUGUGUUUGACAAGUUUUUUUGUGCUGCCAAAUAUCUCAUAUAGAUUCCAGUUUUGAUAUUUUAAUGGAUAUUUAUAAAUUACAUUAAUUGAAUUAUCACAAUGCAUGUUUAACUAGCUCUAAUG